AGUCGACGGAGUUAAAGAGCUUGCUUUUUAACUUAGUGGCGGACGGGUGAGUAACACGUGAGUAACCUACCUUUCAAAGGGGGAUAACGUCUGGAAACGGACGCUAAUACCGCAUAAUACUAUUUGAGGGCAUCCUUGGAUAGUCAAAGGAGAAAUCCGAUGGGAGAUGGACUCGCGGCUGAUUAGAUAGUUGGCGGGGUAGAGGCCCACCAAGUCGACGAUCAGUAGCCGGACUGAGAGGUUGAACGGCCACAUUGGGACUGAGACACGGCCCAGACUCCUACGGGAGGCAGCAGUGGGGGAUAUUGCACAAUGGGGGAAACCCUGAUGCAGCGACGCCGCGUGAGGGAAGACGGUUUUCGGAUUGUAAACCUCUGUCUUUGGGGACGAAUUGAGACGGUACCCAAGGAGGAAGCUCCGGCUAACUACGUGCCAGCAGCCGCGGUAAUACGUAGGGAGCAAGCGUUGUCCGGAAUUACUGGGUGUAAAGGGAGCGUAGGCGGGAUAGUAAGUUGAUUGUUAAAACUAUCGGCUCAACUGGUAGAUGCGAUCAAAACUGCAAUUCUUGAGUGAAGUAGAGGCAGGCGGAAUUCCUAGUGUAGCGGUGAAAUGCGUAGAUAUUAGGAGGAACACCAGUGGCGAAGGCGGCCUGCUGGGCUUUAACUGACGCUGAGGCUCGAAAGUGUGGGUAGCAAACAGGAUUAGAUACCCUGGUAGUCCACACUGUAAACGAUGAUUACUAGGUGUGGGUGGACUGACCCCAUCCGUGCCGCAGUUAACACAAUAAGUAAU
rnacentral:rRNA from 1 species